rnacentral:rRNA from 1 species
UACGGAAGGCAGCAGUGGGGAAUAUUGCACAAUGGGCGAAAGCCUGAUGCAGCUAUGCCGCGUGUAUGAAGAAGGCCUUAGGGUUGUAAAGUACUUUCAUCGGGGAGGAAAAACAAAACUAAUAAUUUUAUUUCUUGACGUUACCCGAAAAAGAAGCACCGGCUAACUCCGUGCCAGCAGCCGCGGUAAUACGGAGGGUGCAAGCGUUAAUCAGAAUUACUGGGCGUAAAGAGCGCGUAGGUGGUUUUUUUAAGUCAGAUGUGAAAUCCCUAGGCUUAACCUAGGAACUGCAUUUUGAAACUGAAAACUAGAGUAUCGUAGAGGGAGGUAGAAUUCUAGGUGUAGCGGUGAAAUGCGUAGAUAUCUGGAGGAAUACCUGUGGCGAAAGCGGCCUCCUAAACGAAUACUGACACUGAGGGUGCGAAAGCGUGGGGAGCAAACAGGGAUUAGAUACC